GUACCCCAAACCGACACAGGUGGAUGGGAUGAGAAUUCUAAGGCGCUUGAGAGAACUCGGGUGAAGGAACUAGGCAAAAUAGCACCGUAACUUCGGGAGAAGGUGUGCCCCCGUUAGGUGAAGCGACUUGCUCGUGGAGCUGAAGGGGGUUGCAGUGAACUGGUGGCUGCGACUGUUUAUUAAAAACACAGCACUCUGCAAACACGAAAGUGGACGUAU
rnacentral:rRNA from 1 species